GUCCCUCUCCUUGAGUAUUGUCAGAGAGAGCGAUUCUGUGCCCACCCUGAGUCGUCUCUCCGCCUGUACUCAGCCAGCAGCGCC
ensembl:miRNA bta-mir-6520 bta-mir-6520